rnacentral:rRNA from 1 species
UUUUACAAUGAAGAGUUUGAUCCUGGCUCAGGAUGAACGCUAGCUACAGGCUUAACACAUGCAAGUCGAGGGGCAGCAUGAACUUAGCUUGCUAAGUUUGAUGGCG